rnacentral:rRNA from 1 species
AUUGAACGCUGGCGGCGUGUCUUAAGCAUGCAAGUCGAGCGGCAAGGCGGGGCAACCCGCCCUAGAGCGGCGGACUGGUGAGUAACACGUGGGUGAUCUACCCCUGGUUUGGGGAUAGCCCGUGGAAACAUGGGGUAAUACCGAAUACGACGGCAAGACUACGGUUUUGUCGGGAAAGGCGCUAAGGCGCCGACCGGGGAUGAGCCCGCGCCCCAUUAGCUAGUUGGUGAGGUAACGGCCCACCAAGGCGAUGAUGGGUAGCCGGCCUGAGAGGGUGUACGGCCACACUGGGACUGAGAUACGGCCCAGACUCCUACGGGAGGCAGCAGCUAAGAAUAUUCCGCAAUGGACGAAAGUCUGACGGAGCGACGCCGCGUGGAUGAAGAAGGCCGAAAGGUUGUAAAAUCCUUUUGUCGGGGAAGAAUAAGCGUGGGAGGGAAUGCCCGCGUGAUGACAUGAACCGGCGAAUAAGCCCCGGCUAACUACGUGCCAGCAGCCGCGGUAAAGUACAGUGU